rnacentral:tRNA from 1 species
GCUCCCGUGGUGAAAUGGACAUCACGGCGGUCUUCGGAACCGCUAUUGGGGGUUCGAGUCCCUCCGGGAGCG